GCACAAGCGGUGGAACAUGUGGUUAAUUCGACGCUAAGCGAAAAACCUCACCAAGGUUUGACAUCCCGAUCGUACGGUAUAGGAAUAUACUGGUCAGUUCGGCUGGAUCGGUGACAGGUGUUGCAUGGUCGUCGUCAGCUCGUGUCGUGAGAUGUCGGGUUAAGCCUUUAACGAGCGCAACCCUCAUUGCAUGUACUUUUCAUGCGAGACUGCCCUGGUUAACAGGGAGGAAGGUGGGGAUGACGUCAGAUCAGCAUGGCCCUUACGCCUUGGGCUACACACGUGUUACAAUGGUCAGUACAAUGGGUCGCAAUACCGUAAGGUGGAGCUAAUCCGUGAAAACUGAUCUCAGUUCGGAUAGAGGGCUGAAACUCGCCCUCUUGAAGUUGGAAUCGCUAGUAACCGCAAAUCAGCACGUUGCGGUGAAUACGUUCCCGGGUCUU
rnacentral:rRNA from 1 species